rnacentral:rRNA from 1 species
UACGUAGGGUGCAAGCGUUGUCCGGAAUUAUUGGGCGUAAAGAGCUCGUAGGCGGUCUGUCGCGUCGGAUGUGAAAACCCAGGGCUCAACCCUGGGCCUGCAUUCGAUACGGGCAGACUAGAGUUCGGUAGGGGAGAACGGAAUUCCUGGUGUAGCGGUGAAAUGCGCAGAUAUCAGGAGGAACACCGGUGGCGAAGGCGGUUCUCUGGGCCUGUACUGACGCUGAGGAACGAAAGCGUGGGGAGCGAACAGG